GCGUGGGUGAAGAAGGCCUUAGGGUUGUAAAACCCUUUCAGCGGGGAAGAUGAUGACGGUACCCGCAGAAGAAGCCCCGGCUAACUCCGUGCCAGCAGCCGCGGUAAUACGGAGGGGGCUAGCGUUGUUCGGAAUUACUGGGCGUAAAGGGCGUGUAGGCGGUCUAUCGAGUCAGGCGUGAAAGCCCCGGGCUUAACCUGGGAACUGCGUUUGAUACUGAUAGACUAGAGGUUGGAAGAGGAGAGUGGAAUUCCCAGUGUAGAGGUGAAAUUCGU
rnacentral:rRNA from 1 species